rnacentral:rRNA from 1 species
UACGUAGGGUGCUAGCGUUGUUCGGAAUCAUUGGGCGUAAAGCGCGUGUAGGCGGUUUGAUAAGUCGAGUGUGAAAUCCCUGGGCUUAACCGAGGAAGUGCAUUCGAAACUAUCUGGCUAGAAGACGGUAGAGGAAGGUGGAAUUCCUAGUGUAGAGGUGAAAUUCGUAGAUAUUAGGAGGAAUACCGGUGGCGAAGGCGGCCUUCUGGACCGAUCUUGACGCUGAGACGCGAAAGCGUGGGGAGCAAACAGG